UUCGCACAUCAGCGUCAGUNUUUGGCCAGGDAGUCGCCUUCGCCACCGGUAUUCCUCCCGAUAUCUACGAAUUUCACCUCUACACCGGGAAUUCCACUACCCCCUCCAAUACUCAAGCAUGCCAGUUUCAAAUGCACUUCCACGGUUGAGCCGUGGACUUUCACAUCUGACUUAACACGCCGCCUACGCGCGCUUUACGCCCAGUAAUUCCGAACAACGCUUGCACCCUCCGUAUUACCGCGGCUGCUGGCACGGAGUUAGCCGGUGCUUCCUUUGAUGGUACCGUCAAACUACAGCUGUAUUAGAGCAGUAGCACUUCUUCCCAUCUGACAGGAUUUUACGACCCGAAGCCUUCAUCAUCCACGCGGCGUCGCUGCGUCAGGGUUUCCCCCAUUGCGCAAUAUUCCUCA
rnacentral:rRNA from 1 species